AAAACCACCUGUUCUUGUGUGAUCACCAAAGUUAAGCAAUGUUAAGCUUGGAUAGUACCUUGGUGGGUGACUGCUUGGGAAUACCAGGUGUUGUAAG